CUUAGUGGCGACCGGGUGCGUAACACGUAGCUGACCUGCCCCUCAGCGGGGGACAACAGUUCGAAAGGACUGCUAAUACCGCAUAAUUUUCAUGUUUUUAGAAAGCAUGAAAUAAACUUACGGGGCUGAGGGAGGGAGCUGCGGCCCAUCAGGUAGUUGGUGAGGUAACGGCUCACCAAGCCGACGACGGGUAGGGGGCCUGAGAGGGUGGUCCCCCACACUGGAACUGACAAACGGUCCAG
rnacentral:rRNA from 1 species